rnacentral:rRNA from 1 species
CUACGGGUUGCACCAGUGAGGAAUAUUGCACAAUGGGGGGAAUCCUGAUGCAGCAACGCCGCGUGGAGGAUGACGCAUUUCGGUGUGUAAACUCCUUUUAUAUGUCAAGAAAAUGACGGUAGCAUAUGAAUAAGCACCGGCUAACUCCGUGCCAGCAGCCGCGGUAAUACGGAGGGUGCAAGCGUUACUCGGAAUCACUGGGCGUAAAGGACGCGUAGGCGGGUUGGAAAGUCAGGUGUGAAAUCCUACAGCUUAACUGUAGAACUGCACUUGAAACUUCUAAUCUAGAGUAUGGGAGGGGGAGAUGGAAUUAGUGGUGUAGGGGUAAAAUCCGUAGAUAUCACUAGGAAUACCUAAAGCGAAGGCGAUCUCCUGGAACAUUACUGACGCUAAGGCGUGAAAGCGUGGUGAGCAAACAGGAUUAGAUACCCGAGUAGUC